UACGUAGGGGGCUAGCGUUGUCCGGAUUUAUUGGGCGUAAAGAGCGUGUAGGCGGCCAGGUAGGUCUGCUGUGAAAACUCGAGGCUCAACCUCGAGACGUCGGCGGAAACCAUCUGGCUAGAGUCCGGGAGAGGUGAGUGGAAUUUCCGGUGUAGCGGUGAAAUGCGUAGAUAUCGGAAGGAACACCUGUGGCGAAAGCGGCUCACUGGACCAUAACUGACGCUGAGGCGCGAAAGCUAGGGGAGCAAACAGG
rnacentral:rRNA from 1 species